ACGGGUGCGUAACGCGUGGGAAUCUGCCCUUGGGUUCGGAAUAACAGUUAGAAAUGACUGCUAAAACCGGAUGAUGUCUUCGGACCAAAGAUUUAUCGCCCAGGGAUGAGCCCGCGUAGGAUUAGGUAGUUGGUGGGGUAAUGGCCCACCAAGCCGACGAUCCUUAGCUGGUCUGAGGGGAUGAUCAGCCACACUGGGACUGAGACACGGCCCAGACUCCUACGGGAGGCAGCAGUGGGGAAUAUUGGACAAUGGGCGCAAGCCUGAUCCAGCAAUGCCGCGUGAGUGAUGAAGGCCUUAGGGUUGUAAAGCUCUUUUACCAGGGAUGAUAAUGACAGUACCUGGAGAAUAAGCUCCGGCUAACUCCGUGCCAGCAGCCGCGGUAAUACGGAGGGAGCUAGCGUUGUUCGGAAUUACUGGGCGUAAAGCGUACGUAGGCGGUUACUCAAGUCAGAGGUGAAAGCCCGGGGCUCAACCCCGGAACUGCCUUUGAAACUAGGUAGCUAGAAUCUUGGAGAGGUCAGUGGAAUUCCGAGUGUAGAGGUGAAAUUCGUAGA
rnacentral:rRNA from 1 species